rnacentral:rRNA from 1 species
UACAGAGGGGGCAAGCGUUAUUCGGAAUUAUUGGGCGUAAAGGGCGCGUAGGCGGCGAUUCAAGUGACGGGUGAAAUCCCUCGGCUUAACCGAGGAACUGCCUGUCAGACUGGGUUGCUUGAGACCGGGAGAGGCGGGUGGAAUUCCCAGUGUAGCGGUGAAAUGCGUAGAUAUUGGGAGGAACACCAGUGGCGAAGGCGGCUCGCUGGACCGGAACUGACGCUGAGGCGCGAAAGCGUGGGGAGCAAACAGG